CCCUCCUCGGUGACAGAAAUAAAGUCCCUGGUUCAAAGAGUUCACUGAAAGAAUGAAGAGGCAAUACAGAAACUAGGAGGAAAUUGAUGAAUUGAGAGGAAGGAGAAGAAUGUCCCGCAGCCCUUCGGUUAUGUCCUCUUGACAGCUCUCCUGCAUUCUUACAUACAGAUGGCCAUCAUGGACAUCUGCGGCUAGGCUGUGGACAUGCAGAUACGCUCCCUGCCCUGGGGAAGAUCUGAGAUAAGCAGAGAAGCGACACACAAAUGGCAAGGAGGAGAGAGCGAUCUAAUCGAUUGGCCACGAGCUUGGUACAGUGAGAUGGGAAAAGCACACAGAGCAAAGGAAAGCAGGUUUCCACUGGGAGACAUGUGCUGCUCUCCCCCUCCUUCUGUUCGCCCUUGGCUUUUCACUCCCUUCUCCUUUGAGCCUUCUCUGUGCUUCCCAGGCUGAGAUGGUGCUCAGGGAUUGCUAACAUGGGGCCUGUGCAGGUUUGGGCUGGUUUGCCUGCUUUCUUGUUUAGUUUGCUGCCUGUCUCUGCCUCUCCUUGUCGACCUCAGCUAGGCACACAAUGCUGGCUGCUCCUUGCUGAAAUUGGCUCCCCUUCUGUUUCUCUGUCUGUUGAAUACCUAACACCUGAUGAUUGUCUUUGGAGUUUGACAUUUUCAAAUAGCUUCCAUAUUGCACACAAAGAUGAAAAAAAAUUGGCCUUUUUCCCCCCCUCCAUCUCUCCUUUUCUCACCCUUGCCAGGUGCCAAAUCUGAAUGCCGCAAUAACAAAGCAUUUCCUGCACUCACUCCCACUUUGCUGCACUGCACAUCUGCAGGUGGGGUGAGAGAAUGCAGAGCUAGAAGUAACUCCCCAUGCUGAAACACUUUGAUUUCAUACUUCAGAUUCCACCCAGACCUCUGUUUUUCAAGCUCCUUUUUUUAAAACAAUGAAGUUGAAGAAGAAAGCUGAGUGCCUUUGUUUCUGGACAAGCUAGAAAUCCAGAGAUGAGGCCAAAUCCGCCUGAUGACACUGUGCAGUCACAGCAGCAAUGCGGUUUUGGAAGUGUGAGCCAGUGGGAAGCCAGGAACUUGGCUGCGCAUAUCCACUCCUCUGAGCCCUGUCUCCAUCUCCACUUCUCACCACCAGACCCGAGGAGAGCUGUCAGACUGCAGAUCCCCACUUCACACCUCUCUGAGACAAGAGCUGGGACAGGGCACCGAGCUGCAUGCCCAUCCCUGGCUCCCACCCAGAUUGCUGUGCAUGGUUGGGGCCCUGCAGAGCCCCCUUUGACCACCAGAGGUCAGAAGCAAAACAUCGCAGCCCCACCACUGAGCCCUGAUUUCCUCAAUCGCUGUCCUGGAGAGGGAGAAGCAGAAGAAUCAGCAAAAAUACCGCUUCAUUCACAGUGA
rnacentral:lncRNA from 1 species